ACUUUUUUACUUUUUUUUUUUUUUGAGACAGGGUCUUAACUCUGUCACCCAGGCUGGAGUGCAGUGGUGUGACCACAGCCACUGCAGGCUCAACCUCUGGGACUCAGGUGAUCCUCCCAUCUCAGCCUCCCAAGUAGCUGGGACUACAGGUUGCUUCUUCCAGAUCCCUUUUGAUCUAUUUUCAGCUAUGGAUUCAUGAGAAUCAAGACUAAGCAGCCUGAAUUGAAGGAGUAACAGUAUCACCUAACAAUGAUUUUGCUGCCAUAGUAGCUGUUUGUAUACUGGCCAUAUGCCUAGGUAAAAUGAGGCCAGAUCACUCUCAGAGUUUUCUAUCAGAGUUGGUGGCGAACUACUGCUCACUGAUAAUGAGGUGAAACCCCAGCUGAGGAGGCAAAUAUACUCAAGGAAAGUAAUAGUUUCCAAAUGCCUGGCAGUGCCAGGAAGGGGCCAUGUCCAUGGACCACUAUGUAAGGAUAUCUCAGUCUCUAGUCCAGCGUGGUUUAUGGUGCCAAAUAAGUGCCAGGUGAACUCACUACAUCUGACAAAAUCUCAAGGAACCAAGUUUACCAGAUAAUAUUUAUGAUUAUGUGAAAAAGACUGAGGAAAUCACUCAAGUGAUCCAUCAUACAGCACCUCCAGUUCCAAAGAAUACUGACUUACUUCAGCUGUACUGGUCUGGAGCUGCACAUUCUUUUCAGACAACUCUUGUUCCAGUAAGUUCAGGUGACUCUUCUCCUGUAACAGAGCCUCCUUCUUAGAAACUAUGGCCUCCCGUUUCUUUAAGUCUGCUUCCAGCUCCUCUAAUUCUUG
rnacentral:antisense_RNA from 1 species